CCAUUAUAGCACCUAGUAUUCAAAUUCAGUCUCCCAACCAAGUACUAACCAGGCCCAACUUUGCUUUAGAGUGUUAGAGUGGUAUGGCAGGAAGC
rnacentral:rRNA from 1 species